AUUGAACGCUGGCGGCAGGCCUAACACAUGCAAGUCGAGCGGAUGAAGGGAGCUUGCUCCUGGAUUCAGCGGCGGACGGGUGAGUAAUGCCUAGGAAUCUGCCUGGUAGUGGGGGAUAACGUCCGGAAACGGGCGCUAAUACCGCAUACGUCCUGAGGGAGAAAGUGGGGGAUCUUCGGACCUCACGCUAUCAGAUGAGCCUAGGUCGGAUUAGCUAGUUGGUGGGGUAAAGGCCUACCAAGGCGACGAUCCGUAACUGGUCUGAGAGGAUGAUCAGUCACACUGGAACUGAGACACGGUCCAGACUCCUACGGGAGGCAGCAGUGGGAAAUAUUGGACAAAGGGCGAAAGCCUGAUCCAGCCAGGCCGCGUGUGUGAAGAAGGUCUUCGGAUUGUAAAGCACUUUAAGUUGGGAGGAAGGGCAGUAAGUUAAUACCUUGCUGUUUUGACGUUACCAACAGAAUAAGCACCGGCUAACUUCGUG
rnacentral:rRNA from 1 species